rnacentral:rRNA from 1 species
ACUCAAAUGAAUUGACGGGGGCCCGCACAAGCAGCGGAGCGUGUGGUUUAAUUCGACGCAACGCGCAGAACCUUACCCAGGCUUGACAUGCAGUUGCAAGGUCUGGAAACAGAUCCCUCCGCAAGGACAAUUGCACAGAUGCUGCAUGGCUGUCGUCAGCUCGUGUCGUGAGAUGUUGGGUUAAGUCCCGCAACGAGCGCAACCCUCGCUGCCAGUUGAUUUCUCUGGCGGGACUGCCGGGACAAACCCGGAGGAAGGUGGGGAUGACGUCAAGUCAGCACGGCUCUUACGCCUGGGGCUACACACACGCUACAAUGGCCGGUACAGAGGGCCGCUAAGCCGCAAGGUGGAGCAAAUCCCAAAAAGCCGGUCUCAGUUCGGAUUGCAGGCUGCAACUCGCCUGCAUGAAGUCGGAGUUGCUAGUAACCGCAGGUCAGCACACUGCGGUGAAUACGUUCCCGGGCCUUGUACACACCGCCCGU